rnacentral:rRNA from 1 species
CACGUAGGGGACGAGCGUUGUCCGGAUUCAUUGGGCGUAAAGCGCGCGUAGGCGGCUCGGAAAGUCGGUCGUGAAAUGCCGGGGCUCAACCCCGGACUGCGUCCGAUAUUUCCGAGCUGGAGGCAGGUAGGGGAGAUCGGAAUUCCUGGUGUAGCGGUGAAAUGCGCAGAUAUCAGGAGGAACACCGGUGGCGAAGGCGGAUCUCUGGGCCUUGCCUGACGCUGAGGCGCGAAAGCUAGGGGGAGCGAACAGG